AAUAACCAUAAUGAUAAACGGACUGUGGACAGGAGUGGGAAUAUCAUUCCUGGUACUGUUGUUGAUUCAAAAAUUUGCCACCCGACCGAGUUUGAUUUUUACUUGUGCAGUCACGCAGGGAUACAGGGAACGAGCCGACCGGCUCAUUACCAUGUUCUUUGGGAUGAUAACAAUUUCACCGCCGACACACUGCAGACUCUUACAAAUAAUUUAUGCUACACUUAUGCGAGAUGCACCCGCUCUGUUUCAAUUGUGCCACCUGCUUAUUAUGCACACUUGGCUGCGUUCCGUGCUCGGCUCUACAUGUCGCCUGAUACUUCAGAUGGGGGCUCGGUUGCUAGCGGUGCACAAGGUGGCCGAGGUGGGGUGCAGCGCAGCACAAGGGCUACAGGAAAUACUAAGGUUAGGGAGCUACCGGAGCUGAAGGAUAAUGUCAAGAGGGUUAUGUUUUACUGCUGA
rnacentral:misc_RNA from 1 species